CCUACGGGGGGCAGCAGUGGGGAAUAUUGCACAAUGGGCGCAAGCCUGAUGCAGCCAUGCCGCGUGUGUAAAGAAGGCCUUCGGGUUGUAAAGCACUUUCAGCGGGGAAGAAGGCGGUGAGGUUAAUAACCUCAUCGAUUGACGUUACCCGCAGAAGAAGCACCGGCUAACUCCGUGCCAGCAGCCGCGGUAAUACGGAGGGUGCAAGCGUUAAUCGGAAUUACUGGGCGUAAAGCGCACGCAGGCGGUCUGUCAAGUCGGAUGUGAAAUCCCCGGGCUCAACCUGGGAACUGCAUUCGAAACGGGCAGGCUAGAGUCUUGUAGAGGGGGGUAGAAUUCCAGGUGGAGCGGUGAAAUGCGUAGAGAUCUGGAGGAAUACCGGUGGCGAAGGCGGCCCCCUGGACAAAGACUGACGCUCAGGUGCGAAAGCGCGGGGAGCAAACAGGAUUAGAUACCCGGGUAGUC
rnacentral:rRNA from 1 species